UUGGUACCAAGGAAGUGAAGAAGAUCCAGACAACUGACAAGAGAAAGAUAGACCGAGAAAGCUCUUCAAAACUCUGUGAAGUUUAUUUUAAAUAGCUUUCGGUUAAAUUUAUGCUUUAUCUUAAUUUAUAUUUCUCUUGUGGUCUGAACAACAUGUUGAUGGUUGAUUGAAAAAAUGGUUCAAAUUUUUUAUUUUUGAAUAUCAUGUGCAUAUGAAUUGAAAAGCUUAGGUUUAUGAGUAAUCAAAUUCAAAUGCAUGAUUAGAAUGAAUUUUUCAAAUUGCAUUGCUUGAGGUGAAAUCUUUGUGAUUAUCUUUGAAUGAUAGGAUGAAUUUGAACUAAGUAGCUUUAUUCAAUUUGAUUUCAUUCAUUCCUUCUUAACAUGGUUAAUUGAUUUUGAAUCACGUAGACCUAGCCGGGUGAGAUUGUGUGAACUUUCCAUUGUUUAUAUAUUUGAGAGCCGACAAUUGUGUUUAACUCUGUUGAUUUUAACUGAAUCUUGCUAUUACUUGAUGUGUUUGAAGUCAUGGAUAUGAUCAAGGCCUUGUUUCUUUUUGAGUGGUAACUACUUAAGCCAAAAUAACCUACCUUGUGACUUAGUGUGAUUCUUUGCUACCCCCUUGAGCCAAACUUAUGAAAAUUUGUUUGUUUUGAACCCUUGAACCACAAUAAAGAAAAACAAUGACUUAACCCUUGUCUUAGGAUGAUUGAGCAUUGAAUUUAAUUAGGGUUGAAAAUAAGUUGGGGAGAAAGAGGUUAUUUNNNNNNNNNNNNNNAAAAAAAAAAAAAAAAAAGAAGUAGUUGAAAAUGGUGAUUGUGAAAAAGAAAAAGAAUUGUAAAAAAAAUGUUACAAUCAAAAGAAAUCAUUGAAAUUGAAAAGAUUAAAGAAAGAAAAGAUUGUGGCAUACAAAAAGAAUUACCAAAAGAAAGAAAAAAUGGGGAAAGUGAAAGAGGAUAAAUAGCUUAUGUGAUGAAAUUCUCAAGAAUUAUGCUCUCUUAUCCUUAAGGCAUUUUGAAUCCAAAGAAAAACAAUUAUUUUUUGUAGCCUAGCCCCAUUACAAGCUUAAGAAAGACCUUAGUGAUCCAUGAUUGAUAACAUGUCUUGUGAUUUGUUGAGAUGUAUGUUUGAAUUGAUUUGUUGUGAANNNNNNNNNNNNNNNNNNNNNNNNNNNNNNNNNNNNNNNNCUUGAGUUGAAACACUUGUGAGAAUUGUGAUUCUAGUUGAUUAUCUUGUUGAUUUGGAAAGCUUGAAAUCUUACUUGAAUUUUGAAACUAUUUCACAUUCAUGCUUUGAUUGUUUGAUGAUUAUGAAGGUUUGAUUUUGAACUUGCAAUAAAUUGAAAAUCAUGCAAACUUGAAAUGAUUGAAAUCCAAAGUUUUUUUUGAUCAUAAAUCUUGAUUGAAUUGUGCACUAAUGAUGUUUGAACCAUGUUUUGAAAGUUUAUUGUGGACUUUUGUUUGAGGACAAACAAAGUUCUAAGUUGGGGAGAGUUGAUAAGUGCUAAAAAGUAGUAAAUUUUCACAUAUAUUUUAAGCACUUAUUGACUUAUUUUAUAAA
rnacentral:lncRNA from 1 species